rnacentral:rRNA from 1 species
UACGGAGGGUGCGAGCGUUGUCCGGAAUCAUUGGGCGUAAAGGGCGCGUAGGUGGCCCGGUAAGCGUGCGGUGAAAGCUUGGGGCUCAACCCCGAGUCGGCCGUGCGAACUGCUGGGCUUGAGCACUGUAGAGGCAGGCGGAAUUCCGGGUGUAGCGGUGAAAUGCGUAGAUAUCUGGAGGAACACCGGUGGCGAAGGCGGCGUCCUGGACCAACACUGACACUGAUGAGCGAAAGCCAGGGGAGCAAACGGG